rnacentral:rRNA from 1 species
UACGGAGGGUGCAAACGUUGCUCGGAAUCAUUGGGCGUAAAGCGCACGUAGGCGGUCCGACAAGUCGGGUGUGAAAGCCCUGGGCUUAACCCAGGAAGUGCAUUCGAAACUGUCGGACUUGAAUACUGGAGAGGGUCGCGGAAUUCCCGGUGUAGAGGUGAAAUUCGUAGAUAUCGGGAGGAACACCAGUGGCGAAGGCGGCGACCUGGACGAGAUAUUGACGCUGAGGUGCCGAAAGCGUGGGGAGCAAAACAGG